rnacentral:rRNA from 1 species
UACGAAGGGGGCUAGCGUUGCUCGGAAUCACUGGGCGUAAAGCGCACGUAGGCGGCUUUUUAAGUCAGGGGUGAAAUCCUGGAGCUCAACUCCAGAACUGCCUUUGAUACUGGGAAGCUUGAGUCCGGAAGAGGUGAGUGGAACUCCGAGUGUAGAGGUGAAAUUCGUAGAUAUUCGGAAGAACACCAGUGGCGCAGGCGGCUCACUGGUCCGGUACUGACGCUGAGGUGCGAAAGCGUGGGGAGCAAACAGG